AUUGAACGCUGGCGGCAGGCUUAACACAUGCAAGUCGAGCGGAGAUGAGGUGCUUGCACCUUAUCUUAGCGGCGGACGGGUGAGUAAUGCUUAGGAAUCUGCCUAUUAGUGGGGGACAACAUUCCGAAAGGAAUGCUAAUACCGCAUACGUCCUACGGGAGAAAGCAGGGGAUCUUCGGACCUUGCGCUAAUAGAUGAGCCUAAGUCGGAUUAGCUAGUUGGUGGGGUAAAGGCCUACCAAGGCGACGAUCUGUAGCGGGUCUGAGAGGAUGAUCCGCCACACUGGGACUGAGACACGGCCCAGACUCCUACGGGAGGCAGCAGUGGGGAAUAUUGGACAAUGGGGGAAACCCUGAUCCAGCCACGCCGCGUGUGUGAAGAAGGCCUUAUGGUUGUAAGGCACUUUAAGCGAGGAGGAGGCUACUGAGACUAAUACUCUUGGAUAGUGGACGUUACUCGCAGAAUAAGCACCGGCUAACUCUGUGCCAGCCGCCGCAGUAAUAC
rnacentral:rRNA from 1 species